GCAGACACGUUCCAGCCAAUCAGCAGCAGACCCUCCCUCCUAGACCUUCCCACCUCCUGGACAGCUCACUAAGAAUGCAGCUUCACAAUGAAUGUAAAAUGGAUGCUGUCCAGGAGUUGGGAGGGUCUGGGAGGGAGGGUCUGCUGCUGAUUGGCUGGAAUGUGUCU